rnacentral:Y_RNA from 1 species
GGUGUCAAUGCAGUGAUGUUUUCAAAUAAUUGAUGACAACUGGUUACAGAUUCUUUGUUCCUUCUCCACCCCACGUGCUCACUUGACUAGCCUUAA